rnacentral:lncRNA from 1 species
UAGUAAUAUUUAUCCUGGUGAAAAACAUUUUAUUGAUGAAUUGCAGUAUAUCCUACUGCUAGGGAAGUUUUUUUCUCUUGAAUAAGAUAGGUUAUUUAUGAUCUCCAUUUUCAGUUGAAGAAAUUGGAGCGCAGAAAAAUUAAGUAACCAAAUUCACAGGGCUGAUCCAUCUAUGGCCAUCAAGCAGCUUGAAGAGGUUUUGUGUGGCCUGGCAGUUUAGAUGAGCGAGGGGAGCGCAGUGGAGGGCUCUCCACCAGGAGCCAACAGUCGAACUUGGAAAUGUUUGAAUGUCCCUUUGGGGCUCUCGUUCUCCCUGGUUUGUUUUCAAGAGGUCAGAACGGCCCAGGAGACACUGAGUCCCCGGGUUGGCUGAGGAGGGAAAACAUCAGACACUCCUCAGAAAGUCCUAGAAGUUGGUGUGCUGGGAUGCACCUGGCUCCACAGCGGGGACUGCAAGAGGAAGCUGCAGGUGCCAAGGGGCUGCCCAGAGCCUGGGUGUUGAGGAGGAGCAAAGGAACUGAAGCAUCCGGCCGUGGCACGUUGUGGCGAGGACUUCUCCUUCCUGACUUCAUUCAUAAGUCGGGAACGGAGGGGGCGAAGAGGCCUGACCAACAUAAAUAA